AUUGAACGCUGGCGGCAGGCCUAACACAUGCAAGUCGAGCGGAUGAAGGGAGCUUGCUCCUGGAUUCAGCGGCGGACGGGUGAGUAAUGCCUAGGAAUCUGCCUGGUAGUGGGGGAUAACGUCCGGAAACGGGCGCUAAUACCGCAUACGUCCUGAGGGAGAAAGUGGGGGAUCUUCGGACCUCACGCUAUCAGAUGAGCCUAGGUCGGAUUAGCUAGUUGGUGGGGUAAAGGCCUACCAAGGCGACGAUCCGUAACUGGUCUGAGAGGAUGAUCAGUCACACUGGAACUGAGACACGGUCCAGACUCCUACGGGAGGCAGCAGUGGGGAAUAGUGGAAGAUGGGCGGAAGCCUGAUCCAGCCAUGCCGCGUGUGUGAAGAAGGUCUUCGGAUUGGAAAGCACUUUAAGUUGGGAGGAAGGGCAGUAAGUUAAUACCUUGCUGUUUUGACGUUACCAACAGAAUAAGCACCGGCUAACUUCGUG
rnacentral:rRNA from 1 species